GUUUCCUUUAUCCAUGUUGCUGGUCUGCUAAAUGAUAUCUACUGGAAAAUGCACCCACAUUGGUACGUAUAAUGUUUAUAAGUGACAUUUUAUUGCUAGGUUGAGGUGUAAGGGUCUGGUAAUUUGUGUCACCAAGGUUAAUCCCUCUGUUGGAAAUCAGAAUACUCUGAAGUGAGGAGCUUUGUUUUGUUUGAUUUACCCUGAAUUGAGUAUUACUGGAUCCCUUUUGAAGAACUUGUUUCUAGCCUCUUAUUAAAGCAUCAAAUGAUCUUGAUGAUGUGAGCACAAUACAUAAGAAGCAUCAACAGUUUUUGCUUAGCUUUUUUAGUUAUCACGGUUAUCUUGUUACUGUUUGGUUUCUGAUGGGUCAUUGUUAGUGUUUAAGCCUUUUCUUUGCUUUUUGUUUUUCCUUUUGUACUUUUAUUUUCUUCUCAUUUUCUGAACCUUCUAUUCUGCAGAUGCUUUCAUCUAAAGAUCUCA
rnacentral:misc_RNA from 1 species